GUGUUUGCUUCGGCAGCACAUAUACUAAAAUUGGAAUGAUACAGAGAAAAUUAGCAUGGCCCCUGCGCAAGGACAACUCUUCCCACGACACACUUGGCCCUCAUGUAC